CAUCACGUUGAAACACCGGUUCCCGUACGAUUAGUGAAGUAAAGCAUCGUCGAGCCUGGUCAGUACCUAGAUGGGUAACCGCUUGGGAAUGU